rnacentral:rRNA from 1 species
GACGAACGCUGGCGGCGUGCCUAAUACAUGCAAGUAGAACGCACAGGAUGCACCGUAGUUUACUACACCGUAUUCUGUGAGUUGCGAACGGGUGAGUAACGCGUAGGUAACCUGCCUGGUAGCGGGGGAUAACUAUUGGGAACGAUAGCUAGUACCGCAUAAGAACAUUUACUGCAUGGUAGAUGUUUAAAAGGUGCAAAUGCAUCACUACCAGAUGGACCUGCGUUGUAUUAGCUAGUAGGUGAGGUAACGGCUCACCUAGGCGACGAUACAUAGCCGACCUGAGAGGGUGAUCGGCCACACUGGGACUGAGACACGGCCCAGACUCCUACGGGAGGCAGCAGUAGGGAAUCUUCGGCAAUGGGGGGAACCCUGACCGAGCAACGCCGCGUGAGUGAAGAAGGUUUUCGGAUCGUAAAGCUCUGUUGUUAAGGAAGAACGAGUGUGAGAAUGGAAAGUUCAUACUGUGACGGUACUUAACCAGAAAGGGACGGCUAACUACGUGCCAGCAGCCGCGGUAAUACGUAGGUCCCGAGCGUUGUCCGGAUUUAUUGGGCGUAAAGCGAGCGCAGGCGGUUAGAUAAGUCUGAAGUUAAAGGCAGUGGCUCAACCAUUGUAGGCUUUGGAAACUGUUUAACUUGAGUGCAGAAGGGGAGAGUGGAAUUCCAUGUGUAGCGGUGAAAUGCGUAGAUAUAUGGAGGAACACCGGUGGCGAAAGCGGCUCUCUGGUCUGUAACUGACGCUGAGGCUCGAAAGCGUGGGGAGCGAACAGG